rnacentral:rRNA from 1 species
UACGUAGGGUGCGAGCGUUGUCCGGAAUUAUUGGGCGUAAAGAGCUCGUAGGCGGCUCGUUGCGUCGGCUGUGAAAACCCGCAGCUCAACUGUGGGCUUGCAGCCGAUACGGGCGGGCUAGGAUUCGGUAGGGGAGACUGGAAUUCCUGGUGUAGCGGUGAAAUGCGUAGAGAUCAGGAAGAACAUCGGUGGCGAAGGCGCUCUGCUGGACCAUAACUGACACUCAGGGACGAAAGCUAGGGGAGCGAAUGGG